GCCCACGUGGCGAAACUGGUAAACGCAGCGGCCUGUCAAGCCGCCUCCUGGCAGAUUGCGGGUUCGAGUCCCGCCGUGGGCACCA
rnacentral:tRNA from 1 species